AGUUUUCCACUUGAUUGAACCUCCUUCUGGCUGCCACAAAGAUAUUCUGUCAGCCUUGAUCUCCACUGUCUCCAUCUUGUGGGACCACCUCAGAUGUGAUGGGUAUCCAGGAGUCUAUUCUACCUACUACACCAUUGGGCUACAACGCACCACCCCGGGCUUCCUUGUUCCCUCCUGGCAUGAGCCAGGAGCUCUGUCCUCUCACUGUAUCUCUAAAUAAAAGUCUCUCCCUGGCUCUCCUACCUUGCGUGUUUGCUAAGUUCAUUCUUCAACUCCGCAAACAAAAACUCCCAGCCUCAGUAUGUUAAUUAGAAAUAUUUGUUUUACAGCUUGUGUUUAAACACCAGAAAAAAAUAAUGCAUUCUACCUCACAUACUUGGUCCCCAACAAUUCUCUUCAGCCAACCUUUCUGAUCCAGGUAAUAUGGCAGAUCAGAGGCCAAGAAUUAUUU